rnacentral:rRNA from 1 species
GACGAACGCUGGCGGCGUGCUUAACACAUGCAAGUCGAACGAUGAACCGGAGCUUGCUCUGGGGAUUAGUGGCGAACGGGUGAGUAACACGUGGGCAACCUGCCCCAGACACCGGGAUAACCAUUGGAACGAUGGCUAAUACCGGAUACGACCACUUCGGGCAUCCGAUGGUGGUGGAAAGGAUUCUGGUCUGGGAUGGGCCCGCGGCCUAUCAGCUUGUUGGUGGGGUAAUGGCCUACCAAGGCGACGACGGGUAGCCGGCCUGAGAGGGCGACCGGCCACACUGGGACUGAGACACGGCCCAGACUCCUACGGGAGGCAGCAGUGGGGAAUAUUGCGCAAUGGGCGAAAGCCUGACGCAGCGACGCCGCGUGAGGGACGAAGGUCUUCGGAUUGUAAACCUCUUUCAGCAGGGAUGAAGCGAAAGUGACAGUACCUGCAGAAGAAGCACCGGCUAACUACGUGCCAGCAGCCGCGGUAAU